UACGUAGGGUGCGAGCGUUGUCCGGAAUUACUGGGCGUAAAGAGCUCGUAGGUGGUUUGUCGCGUUGUUCGUGAAAACCGGGGGCUUAACCCUCGGCGUGCGGGCGAUACGGGCAGACUGGAGUACUGCAGGGGAGACUGGAAUUCCUGGUGUAGCGGUGGAAUGCGCAGAUAUCAGGAGGAACACCGGUGGCGAAGGCGGGUCUCUGGGCCGUAACUGACGCUGAGGAGCGAAAGCAUGGGGAGCGAACAGG
rnacentral:rRNA from 1 species